rnacentral:lncRNA from 1 species
CUCCUGAAUACUCCGAUCUGUCUUCUCACUUUGCAUCGCAAACGCUUUCUCCAAAGUAACGAAUCUUUCUUCGAUCUCCUCGUCCACCUCGCGAACCACCGCCUUCUUCGCCAUCGCCUGUGAUCGCGUCUCCGCCAUUAUCUCCGAGAAUCGCCGAGCUCUGAUACCACUAAUACGGUGAAUCCGUAUGAUAGAUCAAUGUUCAGCAAACAAAGAUCUAUAAACUCACUUGUAAAAGAUUGAUAAAGAGAACAAUCCUUACGUAUGAAUCCAAUAUCGUUUCCAGAAUUACAAGAAGAGAGAAAUUGAUUCUGUUACACUUUUCUGAAUGAAUCUAAAGCUCAUGAGAAACAGAGCUUUUAUACUCACUCUGUUUCCUACUAGACACGCGUCCCUUUACCACUGGAGCCGUUAGUAACUCUCUAACAAACUCUAACAACCUUCUUCCCUCCUUCCUUGACCUCCACGUGUCCCUAACACCUCCUUACUCAUUACCUGUAUCA